rnacentral:rRNA from 1 species
GUAACCUGGUUGAUCCUGCCAGUAGUCAUAUGCUUGUCUCAAAGAUUAAGCCAUGCAUGUCUAAGUAUAAGCAACUAUACUGUGAAACUGCGAAUGGCUCAUUAAAUCAGUUAUCGUUUAUUUGAUAGUACCUUACUACAUGGAUAACCGUGGUAAUUCUAGAGCUAAUACAUGCUAAAAACCUCGACUUCGGA